UACAGAGGGUGCAAGCGUUAAUCGGAAUUACUGGGCGUAAAGCGUGCGUAGACGGUCAUGUAAGUCGGGUGUGAAAGCCCCGGGCUCAACCUGGGAACGGCAUUGGAAACUGGCUUACUGGAGUGCGGUAGAGGGGUGUGGAAUUCCCGGUGUAGCAGUGAAAUGCGUAGAUAUCGGGAGGAACAUCGGUGGCGAAGGCGACACCCUGGACCAGCACUGACACUGAGGCACGAAAGCGUGGGGAGCAAACAGG
rnacentral:rRNA from 1 species